CCUGCCCCGAGGGGGCGUCCGGGGCUGCCCCUCCACCCCGGACCCGGCUGGAAGGAGGGCAGGGGAGGCCGCGCCGACAGGCCCGGCGUUCCACCCGAGACCGGUAGUGAGCUGGGAGCCUCACAGUGACUAAGGAUGCUUGGUGAAGAUACUAGUGACACUGGCCGACUGUAAUGCAGGAGAAUCCCCCCCCCAAACUGAAAGAAGCCCCGGGGAAGAUUUCACAGUUCCCAUCCGUAUCGCUUUACGGUAUUAAACCAUGGCUGCUUUUGAACA